UCAAGAAACUUCCACAAUGGGCGAAAGCCUGAUGGAGCGACGUCGCGUGAUGGACGAAGUGCUUCGGCACGUAAACAUCUUUUAUGUGGGAUGAAAUUAUUGACAGUACCACAUGAAUAAGGGGCUCCUAACUCUGUGCCAGCAGGAGCGGUAAUACAGAGGCCCCAAGCGUUAUCCGGAAUCACUGGGCGUAAAGGGUGUCGAGGCGGUUGUAUUAGUCGUUCGUAAAAUCUACGAGCUUAACUUGUAGGCGGCGAACGAAACGGUACGACUUGAGGUUUGGAGAGGUGCGUGGAACUCACGGUGUAGGGGUGAAAUCCGUUGAUAUCGUGGGGAACACCAAAGGCGAAGGCAGCACACUGGCCAAAAUCUGACGCUCACACACGAAAGCUAGGGUAGCGAAGAGGAUUAGAUACCCCGGUAGUCCCUGAGCGGGCUGGCAAGGCGCAU
rnacentral:rRNA from 1 species